GAGUAGUAAAAAAGUAAAAAUAUUUAUAUAUAUCUUGGCUUCUUGAGAUUCAAAUCCUAUAAAAUAAAACUGAAAAGGACUGAACAAGUUUGUAAGGGAGACAUGAUUUGACAUAUGGUAAAAAUAUGCAUAUGAAAUUGGUGGGUAAGGUUGGUGAUGAAAUGAGUUGUGAAGUACCAAAGGUAGAAAAGUAGAGAAGCGCUUCUGCACCUGCUCCUACAAUUUUGCAUUUUCAGCUGGAGCAAGUUGAGCAGCUAAUAAGGUUUUGGUUUGGUUUUGGUUUUUGACACACAAUAAUAACAUAGUGACAUAGUGUAAUUAAUGUACACUUGUCAAGAAUGCAACAUGAUGCAAGAAAAAAACAAUGGAUAUGAUAUAUGAUAUACUAUCAUAUAGUAAAAAAAA
rnacentral:lncRNA from 1 species